rnacentral:rRNA from 1 species
UACGGAGGGGGCAAGCGUUGUUCGGAGUCACUGGGCGUAAAGGGCGCGUAGGCGGUGCAUCAAGUCAGGCGUGAAAGCCCCGGGCUUAACCUGGGAAUUGCGCUUGAUACUGAUGCGCUAGAGAGCGGGAGAGGAUGGCGGAAUUCCCAGUGUAGAGGUGAAAUUCGUAGAUAUUGGGAAGAACACCGGUGGCGAAGGCGGCUCACUGGCUCGUAACUGACGCUCAUGCACGACAGCGUGGGGAUCAAACAGG